rnacentral:tRNA from 1 species
GCCAGCAUGGCAUAGUGGUUUGAGUGCUGGACUACGACUCUGGAGACCAGGGUUCAAAUUCUGGCUUGGCC